AUUGAACGCUGGCGGCAGGCCUAACACAUGCAAGUCGAACGAGUGGCGGACGGGUGAGUAAUGUCUGGGAAACUGCCUGAUGGAGGGGGAUAACUACUGGAAACGGUAGCUAAUACCUCAUACCAUCAGAUGUGCCCAGAUGGGACUAGCUUAUUGGUGGGGUAACGACUCACCAAGGCAACGCACCCUUGCUGGUUUGAGAGGAUGACACGCAACACUGGAACUGAGACACGGUCCAGCCUACUACGGGAGGAAGGAGUGGGGAAUUUUGCACAAGGGGCGCAAGUCUGAUGCAGCCAUGCCGGGUAUAUGAAGAAGGCUUUCGGGUUGUAAAGUACUUGCAGCGGGGAGGCGUUACCCGCAGAAGAAGCAACGGCUAACUCCGUGCCAGCAGCCGCGGUAAUUC
rnacentral:rRNA from 1 species